AGCAACAAAUGCCCUGCUUCCAGGAAAAGCCUCUAAGCAUCAGGUAACAUCAAAUCGUACCCCAAACCGACACAGGUGGUCAGGUAGAGAAUACCAAGGCGCUUGAGAGAACUCGGGUGAAGGAACUAGGCAAAAUGGUGCCGUAACUUCGGGAGAAGGCACGCUGACACGUAGGUGAAGUGAUUUACUCAUGGAGCUGAAGUCAGUCGAAGAUACCAGCUGGCUGCAACUGUUUAUUAAAAACACAGCACUGUGCAAACACGAAAGUGGACGUAUACGGUGUGACGCCUGCCCGGUGCCGGAAGGUUAAUUGAUGGGGUCAGCGCAAGCGAAGCUCCUGAUCGAAGCCCCGGUAAACGGCGGCCGUAACUAUAACGGUCCUAAGGUAGCGAAAUUCCUUGUCGGGUAAGUUCCGACCUGCACGAAUGGCGUAAUGAUGGCCAGGCUGUCUCCACCCGAGACUCAGUGAAAUUGAACUCGCUGUGAAGAUGCAGUGUACCCGCGGCAAGACGGAAAGACCCCGUGAACCUUUACUAUAGCUUGACACUGAACAUUGAGCCUUGAUGUGUAGGAUAGGUGGGAGGCUUUGAAGUGUGGACGCCAGUCUGCAUGGAGCCGACCUUGAAAUACCACCCUUUAAUGUUUGAUGUUCUAACGUGGACCCGUAAUCCGGGUUGCGGACAGUGUCUGGUGGGUAGUUUGACUGGGGCGGUCUCCUCCUAAAGAGUAACGGAGGAGCACGAAGGUUGGCUAAUCCUGGUCGGACAUCAGGAGGUUAGUGCAAUGGCAUAAGCCAGCUUGACUGCGAGCGUGACGGCGCGAGCAGGUGCGAAAGCAGGUCAUAGUGAUCCGGUGGUUCUGAAUGGAAGGGCCAUCGCUCAACGGAUAAAAGGUACUCCGGGGAUAACAGGCUGAUACCGCCCAAGAGUUCAUAUCGACGGCGGUGUUUGGCACCUCGAUGUCGGCUCAUCACAUCCUGGGGCUGAAGUAGGUCCCAAGGGUAUGGCUGUUCGCCAUUUAAAGUGGUACGCGAGCUGGGUUUAGAACGUCGUGAGACAGUUCGGUCCCUAUCUGCCGUGGGCGCUGGAGAACUGAGGGGGGCUGCUCCUAGUACGAGAGGACCGGAGUGGACGCAUCACUGGUGUUCGGGUUGUCAUGCCAAUGGCACUGCCCGGUAGCUAAAUGCGGAAGAGAUAAGUGCUGAAAGCAUCUAAGCACGAAACUUGCCCCGAGAUGAGUUCUCCCUGAGACUUAGAGUCUCCUGAAGGAACGUUGAAGACGACGACGUUGAUAGGCCGGGUGUGUAAGCGCAGCGAUGCGUUGAGCUAACCGGUACUAAUGAACCGUGAGGCUUAACCUUACAACGCCGAAG
rnacentral:rRNA from 6 species